UACGGAGGGAGCUAGCGUUGUUCGGAAUUACUGGGCGUAAAGCGCACGUAGGCGGCUUUGUAAGUUAGAGGUGAAAGCCCGGGGCUCAACUCCGGAAUUGCCUUUAAGACUGCAUCGCUUGAAUCCGGGAGAGGUGAGUGGAAUUCCGAGUGUAGAGGUGAAAUUCGUAGAUAUUCGGAAGAACACCAGUGGCGAAGGCGGCUCACUGGACCGGUAUUGACGCUGAGACGCGAAAGCCAGGGGAGCAAACGGG
rnacentral:rRNA from 1 species